GUUAAGCGACUAAGCGUACACGGUGGAUGCCCUGGCAGUCAGAGGCGAUGAAGGACGUGCUAAUCUGCGAUAAGCGUCGGUAAGGUGAUAUGAACCGUUAUAACCGGCGAUUUCCGAAUGGGGAAACCCAGUGUGUUUCGACACACUAUCAUUAACUGAAUCCAUAGGUUAAUGAGGCGAACCGGGGGAACUGAAACAUCUAAGUACCCCGAGGAAAAGAAAUCAACCGAGAUUCCCCCAGUAGCGGCGAGCGAACGGGGAGCAGCCCAGAGCCUGAAUCAGUGUGUGUGUUAGUGGAAGCGUCUGGAAAGGCGCGCGAUACAGGGUGACAGCCCCGUACACAAAAAUGCACAUGCUGUGAGCUCGAUGAGUAGGGCGGGACACGUGGUAUCCUGUCUGAAUAUGGGGGGACCAUCCUCCAAGGCUAAAUACUCCUGACUGACCGAUAGUGAACCAGUACCGUGAGGGAAAGGCGAAAAGAACCCCGGCGAGGGGAGUGAAAAAGAACCUGAAACCGUGUACGUACAAGCAGUGGGAGCACGCUUAGGCGUGUGACUGCGUACCUUUUGUAUAAUGGGUCAGCGACUUAUAUUCUGUAGCAAGGUUAACCGAAUAGGGGAGCCGAAGGGAAACCGAGUCUUAACUGGGCGUUAAGUUGCAGGGUAUAGACCCGAAACCCGGUGAUCUAGCCAUGGGCAGGUUGAAGGUUGGGUAACACUAACUGGAGGACCGAACCGACUAAUGUUGAAAAAUUAGCGGAUGACUUGUGGCUGGGGGUGAAAGGCCAAUCAAACCGGGAGAUAGCUGGUUCUCCCCGAAAGCUAUUUAGGUAGCGCCUCGUGAAUUCAUCUCCGGGGGUAGAGCACUGUUUCGGCAAGGGGGUCAUCCCGACUUACCAACCCGAUGCAAACUGCGAAUACCGGAGAAUGUUAUCACGGGAG
rnacentral:rRNA from 1 species